GAGGCGGAGAAGUAUAAAUGGAUGGAGGAUUUGAAAAGAGCUGUAAAGCAAGCCAAAGAUCGGGAGAGUUGCGGUGGAUACUCACAGAAAAGACCUCAGUUGGCAAAUCGCACACCAAAGCUCGAAGCAGGUCAGUGAAUGUUUGCGCUCUCAGGUCUGUCGAAGGACCAUUCUGUGCCUGUUU